UUAAAUUGAAGAGUUUGAUCAUGGCUCAGAUUGAACGCUGGCGGCAGGCCUAACACAUGCAAGUCGAACGGUAACAGGAAACAGCUUGCUGUUUCGCUGACGAGUGGCGGACGGGUGAGUAAUGUCUGGGAAACUGCCUGAUGGAGGGGGAUAACUACUGGAAACGGUAGCUAAUACCACA
rnacentral:rRNA from 1 species